UUUUCAGCGUCUCAAAUUCCCU
rnacentral:snRNA from 1 species